UACAGAGGUCUCAAGCGUUGUUCGGAUUCAUUGGGCGUAAAGGGUGCGUAGGUGGCGCGCUAAGUCAGGUGUGAAAUUUCGGAGCUCAACUCCGAACUGCAUUUGAUACUGGCGUGCUUGAGGACUGGAGAGGAGACGUGGAAUUUACGGUGAGCAGUGAAUGCGUAGAGAAUCGUCAAGGAAGACCAGUGGCGAAGGCGGCUCGACUGGCUCGAUACUGACGCUGAGUGCGAAGCGUGGGGAGCAAACAGG
rnacentral:rRNA from 1 species